CUUCAACAAAAUAAUCCAAUAGUCAUACUGCAAAUUUACCUAAACUACUUAAUAUCUCUAAAUAGUUUGGGAUGUGGUUAAACCCUGACUUCUCAUUUGCACUUUAUAUUGAUAAACUGAACUGUAUUGUAAAAGUGGUGUUCUAUUCAGACACUAAAAAGUAACAGUAUCAGUGGUAAGGAAAGAGACUACACAACAAAUACCAAAGCCAGUCAGUGACUGUGGCUAG